GCUUUAAUUCAGUGAGUGCCUGAAGAUUUUUUCUUGUUUUAACGAUGAAUGAGGGUCUUAGGUAGCCCACUGGCAUUAUGGCUAAGGCAGAGAUUGCGCUCUGAUUUAGCCGUUCCAAUUCAGGCUAUCAAUGGGCAUUUUUGUGUUUAGUGCAUGUACUUAACUGGACAUUUCAGAAAGCUGACAAUGGAACUACAACAUUUAUGCCAAAAUAGCUGAGUUACAAAAGUAGCAUACUUUAAAAAAAGCUCUUCAAAUCCACUAAUUUGGUCUAAUUUUUCUCAUCUACUCAGUCUCUAGAGAAUAAAACCCAAACUCUUUUUUUAAAAUGUGAUUCAACGAACAGAACUCACAUCUACCCUUUUCCUAAAUACCGCUAAAGUAACUUUAAUAGCAUUUUCUUGCAACUAAUUAGCAAAGACACAAAUUAGUGCAAAAGUUUGACUAAUCAACAGGAUAUAUUUGUACUUAAUAAUAUAAACACGCAUUCUUAGUUUUCUUGUUAUUAACCUAGUGUGAUUUUGAAAGUGUAAAUUGCAUGUUCUGUUAUUUCGAUCAAUAUGUUUUAGGGUAUUUAAUUGAUUUGACAGGUGUAUUGAUCAAGGAAAUGAAUUUAUGUAUUCCAACCUUCUACCAAUAUGUUUUCUUAAUCAAUAUGAAAUAUAGAUCUAAUUAUGCUAUCAUUACUGAAUUGCUUUAACUAUUAAAAAGUGCUGAUGUGUGCCUUUAUAGAACCAUUUUGUCUAUCG